rnacentral:lncRNA from 1 species
AGAGCUGAAAAAGGGAAUCUGCUGCGAAGAGGCUAUAGGCUUCUUUUUUGGGUCCUGUAGCCACUAUGUACCUCCUCUCUGACACCAGGAAGACCCGCAGCAAAAAGAGGGCUUCCGUGAAGGAAUUGGGGUCCUGGGUCUCAGAUUAUACAGACACGCCACUGGAGAAGCCUCUGAAGCUGGUGCUCAAGGUGGGAGGAAGUGAAGUGACAGAGCUCUCAGGAUCUGGCCACGACUCCAGCUACUACGACGAUCGCUCAGACCACGAACGGGAGAGACACAG